rnacentral:rRNA from 1 species
UGGGGUAUAUUGGACAAUGGAGGAAACUCUGCUCCAGCAAUUCUGCGUGUGUGAAGAAGGUUUUAGGCCUGUAAAACACUUUUAGUAGGGAAGAAAAAAAUGACGGUACCUACAGAAGAAGCAACGGCUAAAUACGUGCCAGCAGCCGCGGUAAUACGUAUGUUGCGAGCGUUAUCCGGAACUAUUGGGCUUAAAGGGCAUCUAGGCGGUAAGACAAGUUGAAGGUGAAAACCUGUGGCUCAACCAUAGGAUUGCCUACAAAACUGUUGAACUAGAGUACUGGAAAGGUGGGUGGAACUACACGAGUAGAGGUGAAAUUCGUAGAUAUGUGUAGGAAUGCCGAUGAUGAAGAUAACUCACUGGACAGAAACUGACGCGGAAGUGCGAAAGAUAGGGGAGCUAACGGG